UAAAAAUUUGAAAAUAAUGUUUUGAGGGUACUCUCAUCACUAGAAAUUCAACAGCAAAAUAUCAGCAAUGUGGUUCUAUCUCUUCAUACUGUUUAAUUUGGCAUGCAUUUUACAACUGGCAUAUGGAAAUAAUUAUGGUAGUGGAAAUGCGGAUAUAAAACUGACAGAUAUUCCACCAGUUGUUUGAAGAUGUGCGAGCUAUAACACAGUACCGUAGAUAACUUAUAUUCUAUUGUUUAUUUCAAUGAUGUCAUGGAGGCAAAAAGGAUCACCGAUCUGUUGCUCCACACAUUUUUUGUAUGAAUAAAUAAAUAAUAAUGUAUCAGU